rnacentral:sRNA from 1 species
ACCACCCACCAGUGUACUGAGGAUCAGUGCAAAUUAAUGCAUCCCGGCGCAUCCAGCAUUAAUUCAAUAUCGUUAUGGAUGUUCAGCUGUCAAAAAUCACAGGGUUACAAAGAAAAAGAAAUAACACACCAUGCAAGAAAGACAAUAAAUCUAUUGAGACAACUGUUGAAUUCUAACCUUGGAGCUUCUAUAAUCAUCGGGGGAUGGAAUCAACCAGUGUUGUACCCCCGUCAUGACGUCACGAGGUAUCGUCUGCUUCAGAGCCUCUUUAUCGUCACACUUUUGCAGCACUGUAUGGAGGUCCGACAACAAACUGACGACUUUCGGGACCGCAGACGGCAAACUUCGAGAUCUUACAUGUCCGGUCUCGCGGCUUCCGCUGAAACUGUGGACCCGUGUAGCUGAAAAAGAGACAUUUCUUUUAACUACUUUAGUUAACGUAUUAGGUAUUUUAAUAAUGUGCAAACAAAUUACAAAUUUAUUACCUACCGGUAUGAGACAUUGUACUAUCUCAAAAAAAAAAUCUAGAAUCGGGAUAGACUUACGAUGGACAGAUACUUCGAGAUCAUUUUACAGAAAACCUCAUCUUAGCCAGGGAGGAGCUCUAAAGUGUAUCAUGCUGUUUAUCUGUAAUUUGUUGUAUCAUAGGGAUUUGACGUGCUGGUAAUGAGGUUAACCCACUAAUUGCAAAACAAUAUUAAAGUUUUGUAAAAAAUAAUUUAUUUCUUCCAGAACCAGGUAUUGAUUUAGUAUAACUAGUAUAUCCUAUACAGUCUUGCGUUUUAUAUGAGGGAGAAAAUAAAGAAGUACCCGAGAGGACGUUGUCAAGCUGUAGAAGCGCCUCCGACAAAAAGUCGCUGGCUUCUUUUGCGUUCUUCGCCAUGUUUACCAAUCCUUACUAAAAAUAGUCCUGAAACGUUAACAGAAAUGAAAAGAAAGAAAACAUAGAAAAUUGUAAUUUACGUAUGUACGUGACUCUUGCAUAUCUAACUAUCCUUUCAAAACGUUAAAUCAAUUUAAUUAUUCAAAAUUUUAAUCACAACGUUGUACUUAAUUCAUUAUAGAUAUUAUAAUUCACUUGAUAAAAUUCAUAUGCUAGGUGAAAAUAUUCAUAUUAUUUAUUAUAUCGUCUUUGUAGAAUAAAUAAUAAUCAUAAAAAAGCUAGUUAUCAUUGUUGUUUGACAUAUUUUUAGAAUCUAAUUUAUAGUUAGACCUCAGUCUAUUUGUUUUAAUUUCAGGUUUUUGGUGUCUAUUUUCAGAGAAUCAUUAAUCAAAUCUUCAAACUGAAAUGUCGGGACGUUUAUAGAUUAACAUCCUGUUUUUAUUUCUGAGUGAUGCAUUUAUCUAGGUUCUAUUUUUUAAAAUAACAAAUUGUAACAACGUUGAAGAUAAAAUACAUCUAAACCAACUCCCCAUUUUUAAGGAAACAAUUUUAAAACGGGUGUUGUAUUUAACUUCAUAGUUACCUAAUUACAUUUUACCAAGUUAGAAUAAAUACCCGAAUAAAAAUACAAACGAAGUUGAUUUAUUUAAAUAAAAUAAAAUUCAGUUAAAGACAAUAUUUUAUUGUUAUUUUGCGUUUGUUCGUGUAUAUAUAUGCAAGCUAUGAACAUUGGUCUGUUAAUUAUGGUAAGUUGCAAUAUACAUAAGUGAACAAAACUGAGUUAUAAUAUUAUAUGUAUGUAUCAGAUUAUUAAUAAAUUACUAAUAAGUUGU